UCGCGCUUCAUUCGAAACAACCAAUCACGCGCUCGCUUCUCCUCUCUCCCACCCACGGACUGCUCCAGCGGGAACUUCAGCUCCAACGGUUUUUCACUCAGCUUCAUUUGAAGGUGAUACGACACACCAGUGGACAGUGGAUGAUGUGCGCAGCUGGCUACAGAAGAAUGGAUUUAGUGCUUUUGCAUCAUUUUUCAUUGGAUCCGGUGACUCCAGCACCCACGCUGGUCUUAGGUAGCUGUGAUGGGAGUCCACUUGAUAGCACAAAUGUGACAAUCAAAACGGAUGGAAAUGUCAUGGUCCAUGACGAUGGAGGAGUUGACAUUUCACUUGCAAUGGGUCUGGCAUUUUCAUUGUUUCACGUGUUCCAAAUUGAGUAUCCCAGAAAAUAAUGUUGUUCCUUGAGGCAUUUGUCUUCAAAAUGAAAAUUAGAGUACCAAUUGCUGUCCAGAGAGUUUACAAUUCUUUGUAAGCUGAAUGUCUAAGAAAAACUGUUUUUUGUUUUUGUUUUGAGGCAGUUGUCUUCAAAAUGAAAAUUCAGUUUUUUAAUUGCUGUCCAGAGAGUUUACAGUUCUUUUGUAAGCUAAAUGUUUAAUGUUUAACUUGUCUUUAAAUUCCAUGUCUUUUUAAAAUUCAGUCUUAAUGUUAAUUUAAAGAAUGAAAUGCUAACUACAGCUAACUUGUUAUGUUAC